GCUAGGUGCAGUGGUGCUCGCCUGUAAUCCUAGCACCUCAGGAGGCUAAGACAGGGGGAUCACAAGUUCAAAGACAGCCUCAGCAAUGGUGAGGUGCUAAGCAACUCAGUGAGACCCUGUCUCUA
rnacentral:sRNA from 1 species